AUUGGGAUAGCUGGGUCAUAUGGUGGUUCCAUUUCAAGUUUUUUGAGGAAUAUCCAUACUACUUUUCAGAGUGGUUGUACUAAUCUGUAGUCCCAUCAACAAU
rnacentral:pre_miRNA from 1 species